UCUGAAAAAAUUAGUCACCACAAACAUCCGUGACUCUCGUUCGCGGGAGAAAAAUCCCCAUCCGCUGUUCCUCCGCCCGAUCCCCAAUUCCACCGGCGGCGCUCGCUUGGUUUCCAUGGUGGCCAUGCCAGAUCCCGCAAAUCCAAUACACCCCCUACCUCCACCACCCGACCUAUGACUCAUGGAGAUCCUUCUGGUCAUUGAUUGCUCGUCGCCCGGGGGUACGCCCCUCUAGCACUGGCAGCCUAUCUCCUCUGUGGUUGGAUUCAUGGCGAGCCAUGGGAACGAUGAAUCGAGGUGCCGGACUGGUGCUGCAUCCCUGAAGAGGCGCGCACCAUGGCCAACCUUGCUCCUACGGCAGAUCCUUGUGGUGGAAGAGGAUCCUGUGGUCUGCAUCUAUGACGAUGCUACAUGCGAACAAUAGGCAUGGAGAAGCUGACUCCAAUCCAUGGGAAGAAUUGUUAUCUGCAACCCCUCCAAAAGUAUCAGAUUGCACCCCCAAAUAGAGAUCUACUGACUGCACAUCCAAACACUUGAUUAGGUGAAGAAACAGAAGCCAACGGCUCCCAGUACAGAGCAACGGCUACAAGUGCAGAGCAACGGCUACCAGAGAAGAGCAACGGCUACCUGGGCAGAGGAACAGGAGCAAAGCAGAACAACAGCUGAGGCCAACAGUUAAACUGAAAUGUAUAUUUUAUUUGUAUGAAUAGUGGCUGUGAAAAAGUAUUGUAUUUUAUGUCUUGUGGCCACACCUUAAGCUUAAGGUUCAUUUUUGGCGGAUGGUGCUUGUGGCUUGGAUGCACAAUGGUAAAGGUGCAUAACUGUAACAUCAUUAAAUGCUUAAGGUUACCUUUUUUCCUA